AUUGAACGCUGGUGGCAGGCCUAACACAUGCAAGUCGAGCGGAGCGGCGGACGGGUGCGUAAUGCCUAUGAAUCUGAAUGGUAGUGGGGGAUAACGUCAGGAAACGGGCGCUAAUACCGCAUACUCUCAGAUGAGCCUAGGUCGGAUUAGCUAGUUGGUGGGGUAAAGGCCUACCAAGGCGACGACCCGUAACUGGUCUGAGAGGAUGAGCAGUCACACUGGAACUGAGACACGGUCCAGACUCCUACGGGAGGCAGCAGUGGGGAAUUUUGGACAAUGGGCGAAAGCCUGAUCCAGCCAUGCCGCGUGUGUGAAGAAGGUCUUCGGGUUGUAAAGCACUUUAAGUUGGGAGGCGUUACCAACAGAAUAAGCACCGGCUAACUUCGUGCCAGCAGCCGCGGUAAUUC
rnacentral:rRNA from 1 species